GAGUUUGAUCAUGGCUCAGAUUGAACGCUGGCGGCAUGCCUUACACAUGCAAGUCGAACGGCAGCACGGGAGCUUGCUCCUGGUGGCGAGUGGCGAACGGGUGAGUAAUGCAUCGGAACGUAUCCUGGAGUGGGGGAUAACGUAGCGAAAGCUACGCUAAUACCGCAUAUUCUGUGAGCAGGAAAGCGGGGGACCUUCGGGCCUCGCGCUCUUGGAGCGGCCGAUGUCGGAUUAGCUAGUUGGUGAGGUAAAGGCUCACCAAGGCGACGAUCCGUAGCAGGUCUGAGAGGAUGAUCUGCCACACUGGAACUGAGACACGGUCCAGACUCCUACGGGAGGCAGCAGUGGGGAAUUUUGGACAAUGGGGGCAACCCGUGAUCCAGCCAUGCCGCGUGAGUGAAGAAGGCCUUC
rnacentral:rRNA from 1 species